GUAACACUGGGCAAGAUCCUUAACCUCUCUGUUUCUCCAUCUACAAAUGAAGAGUCACUUCCUCAGACUGUAGCAGUAAGAAUUAAGUGAGAUGCUUAGCACAUGGCAAAUAUCAUACUUUUAA